CCCUUAGAUGUCCGGGGCUGCACGCGCGCUACACUGAAGGAAUCAGCGUGCUAAAACCAUUGUCGAAAGGCAUUGGUAAACCCAUUAAAAUCCUACGUGAUUGGGAUCGGGAAUUGCAAUUAUUUCCCUUGAACGAGGAAUUCCCAGUAAGUGUGGGUCAUAAGCUCGCGUUGAUUACGUCCCUGCCCUUUGUACACACCGCCCGUCGCUGCCCGGGACUGAGCCGUUUCGAGAAAAGCGGGGACUGCUGCUGUCGGGGCUUUCGGGCCUUGGCUUCGGUGGAAAUCGCUUUAAUCGCAGUGGCUUGAACCGGGCAAAAGUCGUAACA
rnacentral:rRNA from 1 species